rnacentral:rRNA from 1 species
GGGGAAUAUUGGACAAUGGGCGCAAGCCUGAUCCAGCAAUGCCGCGUGAGUGAUGAAGGCCUUAGGGUUGUAAAGCUCUUUCGCACGCGACGAUGAUGACGGUAGCGUGAGAAGAAGCCCCGGCUAACUUCGUGCCAGCAGCCGCGGUAAUACGAAGGGGGCUAGCGUUGUUCGGAAUUACUGGGCGCAAAGGGCGCGUAGGCGGCCUGUUUAGUCAGAAGUGAAAGCCCCGGGCUCAACCUGGGAAUAGCUUUUGAUACUGGCAGGCUUGAGUUCCGGAGAGGAUGGUGGAAUUCCCAGUGUAGAGGUGAAAUUCGUAGAUAUUGGGAAGAACACCGGUGGCGAAGGCGGCCAUCUGGACGGACACUGACGCUGAGGCGCGAAAGCGUGGGGAGCAAACA